UACAUAAUUAUGUCUGUACCUAUAUAAGACUUACACACAUAUAUACAUAUCAGUGCAUGUGUGUAUAUAUAUGUGUGUGUGUUUGUGUGUAUAUUUAACAUGUACAUAGUGUGCAUCUAACAAUCUCCAUUUGUGGCAUUGUCUGGACGAUCUAGCUGCAACAGAGUUAGCUAAGAGGAACUACUAUGGGAAGUAUAAGCUAAUUAAUUUUGCUAAAAGUGAUUGCUAGAUUCUAGAAAUACCUUAACCUCUAAACUGUAUGGAGAAAACUUCAAACUGGAUGGCCAGCUUAUGAAGGAUACUUGAAACUAGAAAAAAAGGGG
rnacentral:lncRNA from 1 species